CGACAGUCACAGUUCGGAUUGAAGGCUGAAAUUCGCCUUCCAUGAAGCCGGAAUUGCUAGUAAUGGCAGGUCAGCAUACUGCCGUGAAUACGUUCCCGGGCCUUGUACACACCGCCCGUCACACCAUGAGAGUUGGGAAUACCCGAAGCCUGUGAGCUAACUUUUAGAGGCAGCAGUCGAAGGUAGAAUCAAUGAUUGGGGUGAAGUCGUAACAAGGUACC
rnacentral:rRNA from 1 species